UAAAACCAUAUAAUUUUUUUUUUGGCGCUGACGCCUGGAGCGGGCGCUUUGGAUAUAUGUAUAUAUAUAUUUUAUUAUAUUUAUGAGUAAACACGAUAAACGACUAUGAAGAACGUUAGACAAUAUUAUUGGGCUAUACGUUACAUAAAUUCACGAUUAUUAAAUAUUUAUAGAACAAUUACUAAGCAAAUUUCAAUUAAAUUCCAUUAAACAUGUAUUUUGAAUGUACCUAUAUAAAUUGAAUAUACGAUGAGACUCUCGACAAG